rnacentral:rRNA from 1 species
UGAGGAAUAUUGGUCAAUGGGCGGCUAGCCUGAACCAGCCAAGUAGCGUGAAGGAUGACUGCCCUAUGGGUUGUAAACUUCUUUUAUAUGGGAAUAAAGUGCAGUAUGUAUACUGCUUUGCAUGUACCUUAUGAAUAAGGAUCGGCUAACUCCGUGCC